rnacentral:misc_RNA from 1 species
UGGUCCUUGCGGUAAUCUGGGUAUGUAUUUCGAGAAUGGGAACAGGUGGUUGGUUCUGAGCGACCACCCGUUCUUGGUUGUCUUUGUCAAAGCACAAAAGCUCACGGAUAUCCCUGGCCGAACCUGGAGUCCCAUGAAAUAAGGGUUUUAUGUCCGAGUGCCUGUUAUGUGUUUCGGUACAAGGAGUGUCAAACAAAAUAAGGGCUUUACAUCUGAGUAGGGCUUUAUGUCCGAGUGUCUGAUGUGUGUUUAGGUAUGAGGAGCGUCAUGAAAUAAGGGCUUUAUGUCCGAGUGUUUGCUAAUGUAUCAGUGCAUGGAGUGUUUUGAAAU